rnacentral:rRNA from 1 species
ACCGUUAUAACCGGCGAUUUCCGAAUGGGGAAACCCAGUGUGAUUCGUCACACUAUCAUUAACUGAAUCCAUAGGUUAAUGAGGCGAACCGGGGGAACUGAAACAUCUAAGUACCCCGAGGAAAAGAAAUCAACCGAGAUUCCCCCAGUAGCGGCGAGCGAACGGGGAGGAGCCCAGAGCCUGAAUCAGCAUGUGUGUUAGUGGAAGCGUCUGGAAAGGUGCGCGAUACAGGGUGACAGCCCCGUACACAAAAGCGCAUGUGCUGUGAGCUCGAUGAGUAGGGCGGGACACGUGGUAUCCUGUCUGAAUAUGGGGGGACCAUCCUCCAAGGCUAAAUACUCCUGACUGACCGAUAGUGAACCAGUACCGUGAGGGAAAGGCGAAAAGAACCCCGGCGAGGGGAGUGAAAAAGAACCUGAAACCGUGUACGUACAAGCAGUGGGAGCACAGGUUUACCUGUGUGACUGCGUACCUUUUGUAUAAUGGGUCAGCGACUUAUAUUCUGUAGCAAGGUUAACCGUAUAGGGGAGCCGUAGGGAAACCGAGUCUUAACCGGGCGUUAAGUUGCAGGGUAUAGACCCGAAACCCGGUGAUCUAGCCAUGGGCAGGUUGAAGGUUGGGUAACACUAACUGGAGGACCGAACCGACUAAUGUUGAAAAAUUAGCGGAUGACCUGUGGCUGGGGGUGAAAGGCCAAUCAAACCGGGAGAUAGCUGGUUCUCCCCGAAAGCUAUUUAGGUAGCGCCUCGUGAAUUCAUCUCCGGGGGUAGAGCACUGUUUCGGCUAGGGGGCCAUCCCGGCUUACCAACCCGAUGCAAACUGCGAAUACCGGAGAAUGUUAUCACGGGAGACACACGGCGGGUGCUAACGUCCGUCGUGAAGAGGGAAACAACCCAGACCGCCAGCUAAGGUCCCAAAGUCAUGGUUAAGUGGGAAACGAUGUGGGAAGGCCCAGACAGCCAGGAUGUUGGCUUAGAAGCAGCCAUCAUUUAAAGAAAGCGUAAUAGCUCACUGGUCGAGUCGGCCUGCGCGGAAGAUGUAACGGGGCUAAACCAUGCACCGAAGCUGCGGCAGCGAACGUAUCACCCAAGACAACUUUACGGAGUUGACGAUUGACGGAGCGAAGCGACGUCAAAGCGUUCAUUAAAGUCGAGUUGGCUUAGGGAUACGUUCGUUGGGUAGGGGAGCGUUCUGUAAGCCUGUGAAGGUGUGUCGUGAGGCAUGCUGGAGGUAUCAGAAGUGCGAAUGCUGACAUAAGUAACGAUAAAGCGGGUGAAAAGCCCGCUCGCCGGAAGACCAAGGGUUCCUGUCCAACGUUAAUCGGGGCAGGGUGAGUCGACCCCUAAGGCGAGGCCGAAAGGCGUAGUCGAUGGGAAACGGGUUAAUAUUCCCGUACUUGGUGUUACUGCGAAGGGGGGACGGAGAAGGCUAUGUUGGCCGGGCGACGGUUGUCCCGGUUUAAGCGUGUAGGUGUGUGUUCCAGGUAAAUCCGGUU